GACGAACGCUGGCGGCGUGCUUAACACAUGCAAGUCGAACGGAAAGGCCCCUUUGGGGGUCCUCGAGUGGCGAACGGGUGAGUAACACGUGAGUAACCUGCCCUUGACUUCGGGAUAACUUCAGGAAACUGGGGCUAAUACCGGAUAGGAAUCCUUGCUGCAUGGUGGGGGUUGGAAAGCUUCGGCGGUUUUGGAUGGACUCGCGGCUUAUCAGCUUGUUGGUGGGGUAGUGGCUUACCAAGGCUUUGACGGGUAGCCGGCCUGAGAGGGCGACCGGCCACAUUGGGACUGAGAUACGGCCCAGACUCCUACGGGAGGCAGCAGUGGGGAAUAUUGCACAAUGGGCGGGAGCCUGAUGCAGCAACGCCGCGUGCGGGAUGACGGCCUUAGGGUUGUAAACCGCUUUCAGCAGGGGCGAAGCUUGUGGUGACGGUACCUGCAGAAGAAGCACCGGCUAACUACGUG
rnacentral:rRNA from 1 species